GGAAUGUGGGUUCCUGGUGGUGUGAUCCUUUGUGCUGUUUAAUCCUCUCCCUGUUUAUCCAGGCCUGGAAGAAAGAAUUCCUGGUUCCUUCAGCUCAGGGGAAGCUGCUCUGGGAGUGUCCAGGGAAGGGCUCCCUGUGCCAGGAGUCUCCGUGUCUUCCUGUCUCUGGAGCGAGUUGGGUCUGAAAGUUCGUCGUUUCAACGGGGCCUCUGAGGACGUCGGAAAACGGGGAAUUAACAAUAAUCCUGCAGCUGAGGAGCCUCAGACAAAGCCAAACCUCCAGGAAGCAGAAAGUAGGGAUGAUUUAAAGCAGUGGGUCCCCUCGGAGG